rnacentral:tRNA from 1 species
ACCUGGCUGGCUCAGUUGGGAGAGCAUGUGACCUUUGAUCUCAGGGUCAUGAGUUCAAGCCCCACGUUGGGUG